GAGAGCUGAACAUAGCAGAGACUGGAAUUUUGUUACCGUGUUACAUAUAUGGGCAAGCAAAGAUAAAACCUUUGGGCUCUUGACCGGUGAUAUAUCAGUAAGCUACUAAGCUUUUGUAAUGGAAGAUCAUUUUGUAUGAAAAGAAGCAAAACCAGUUCGUGGGCUUUAACUGAAGAAGAAAGUAUACAGAGUCAUGCUACUAAAGACUAGUCUCUAAAUGUCAAAAUGUGCAAAAAGUAGACAAAUUUCCCUCAAUCUUAGAGAUCCCAAGGGACAAAGGGGCCAAGUCGGAGAGGAAGAUAAAUAGUGGCUAUGACUGUUGAAAGUCCAUGUAUAACAAAAUAAUAUCUGACUCAAAUUUGCAAACUCUCUUCCCUUAUUGUGAAGCAAGUGGGAGUUGGUGACCGCCCCUCCACUGUUGUCCAAUUCUUCGCAUUAAUACUAUCCUCUCUUGCAUGUUACUUGGCUACGUUUUCCUAAUAUGUUGUGCAGGGAAAUCCUUGCUUAGAUUAUAUACAUCAUGUACCUUUCACACAUUUAAUAAGUGAAAUAUAUAUAUUUAUCUUGAAUGCAUAAUGAUAAAAUCUAGAUAAAUUUUCCUAAUGGAUACAGUUAUCGUUGAUGGUGGUAUCGUGG
rnacentral:misc_RNA from 1 species